rnacentral:rRNA from 1 species
CAGCCAUGCCGCGUGAAGGAAUAAGGUCCUAUGGGUCGUAAACUUCUUUUGACGCAGAGCAAUAAGGAACACGUGUGUUCCGAUGAGAGUAUGCGUCGAAUAAGCAUCGGCUAACUCCGUGCCAGCAGCCGCGGUAAUACGGAGGAUGCGAGCGUUAUCCGGAUUUAUUGGGUUUAAAGGGUGCGUAGGCUGUUGGAUAAGUCAGCGGUGAAAUCACCACGCUUAACGUGUUGUGUGCCGUUGAAACUGUCCAGCUUGAAUGCGCUCGUCGUGAGAGGAAUGUGUGGUGUAGCGGUGAAAUGCAUAGAUAUCACACAGAACACCGAUUGCGAAGGCAUCUCACGAGAGCGUUAUUGACGCUGAUGCACGAAAGCGCGGGUAUCGAACAGGAUUAGAUACCCUGGUAGUCCGCGCUGUAAACGAUGAUGACUAACCGUUGGUCUGGUAUGGAUCAGUGGUCAAGCGAAACGUUAAGUCAUCCACCUGGGGAGUACGGCCCAAGGCUGAAACUCAAAGGAAUUACGGGGCCCGCACAAGCGAGGAACAUGUGGUUUAAUUCGAUGAUACGCGAGGAACCU